UCCGUAGGUGACCUGCGGAGGCACAUUA
rnacentral:rRNA from 1 species